GAGCUACAAUAACUACAAAAUGAAUGCUCAAAAUGAGACCCAAGUGAAUUUCAAAUUCAAAUCUAGAAGCACAAGGAGACCUAGCUCCCUAUAAGCAGUUCAGGAGAGUUAAUUCUCCCCUAUAGAUCAAUACCUCCGUGGACCAUGGUCAUAAAAUGGAGCAGAAGGGCACUUGAAAGCUUGGUGACCCCUCCCACCGCAAUUAUUGCAAAUGACAAUGGCCACACAUUCGUUGCUGAAAUGGCCUGGCUGGCCACAAUUGCGACAAAUAACAUCAUUAAAAGGGCCUCCUACAUCUGAUGCCAAGCUCGAUUUGGGGCAUUGGCGGGCAACAUGACCUGAUAUGUUGCAAAUGUUGCAGACUGGCUCAUUGGGGCAAUCACGAGCAAGAUGACCGGUCUUACGACAAUUGUUGCAAGCCUUCUCAUUGGUGCAGUCAGCAGCAAUGUGACCUGGCUUGUAGCAAUUGUUGCAGGGCCUUGCAUCAUGGGCUGGAAGACUAGGAUUAUAACAAUCACGAGCAAGGUGACCCAUUUUACCACACAUAUGGCAGACUGGAUCAUUUGGGCAUUGGUUUGCAAGAUGUCCAGGACAUCUUGCAAUUCCAACACAUAGUUGUUGAGUUGCAUUCAGCAGCAAUGUGGCCAGGAAGUCCGCAGUUGUUGCAUACGGUCAUAUUUGGACAAUCUCGGGCAAAAUGCCCAGGUCGUUUGCAUUUAUUGCAUAGGUAGUCUUGCCUGUACUUACGAUGAUCCCUGGAAUAAGGUGCAUCACGAUAAGAUGCAUUGGUGCGAAACCUCUUAGCUCGAGGUGGGCUUCCACUUCUAUCCAGACUCAUGUCAAAAACCCUGUAAAUUUAUCAGGGUAAAUGGGAAACAGAACCCCCCCAAACAAACAAGAGAUCCAGAUAAUUCCAGCCUGAAGAUGAAACAGAGUGAGAGAAAAGAAACCUAGAUUAGGAAAUGUGGAUUUGUUUGAAG
rnacentral:misc_RNA from 1 species